AUGCAAGGAUGUUCUUCUGUCAAAGCAAAGACAAGAGUUCUAGUCAAAAUAUUUAAUUGGGUCUUCAAAACUUCCUAUCCCUGUGUCUGUCCUAGGAUUGACGGCCACAUGAGCACCGAUACCAUGAAAGACAGGAGGCCUUUAGGGCGUCAGGACCUGGCUUGCAGCCCCAGGUGUGCGGAUGCCAGCUCCAUCCCGAGGACCCAGGCUGUUUGGACGGCUCUAUCAGGAAGGAAAGAGCGGUGUAACCGUGUCCUGGGGAACUCGGGGAGCUCAUGGACCGGACACGCCGGGAACACCCGCUGCUGCCUCUGUCCCCGUCCCCGGGAAGCCAGGAAGGGUGGCGCCUUCCCGGGGCCUCGGGCCUGUGGGCGCAGCCGGGAGCACCCUGGGGAGGAGCCAGGAGCCACAGGCCUCUCCGCUGGACCUGCCGCCAG
rnacentral:lncRNA from 12 species